CCCUUAGAUGUUCUGGGCCGCACGCGUGCUACACUGAGUGGAUCAGCGGGUCAGGUUGCGCGAAAGUGUUUCCUAAUCUUGAAAUCCGCUCGUGAUGGGGAUUGACGGUUGCAAUUUUCCGUCAUGAACGAGCAAUACCUUGUAAGCGCGGGUCAUCAUCCCGCGCUGAAUACGUCCCUGCCCUUUGUACACACCGCCCGUCGCUCCUACCGAUUGAGUGGUCCGGUGAGGCUUUGGGAUCUGAGCGGAAAGAGCGUUUCGCUGUUUCUGCUCGGAAAACUCAGUCGAACCUUAUCAUUUAGAGGAAGGAGAAGUCGUAACA
rnacentral:rRNA from 1 species